rnacentral:lncRNA from 1 species
ACCUUUGCAUAGAAAAUCUCACGAUUCCCCAUUCUCACGCCUAUUUAGCUCCGGAAACAGGUCGGCACACUCCAGACAACCCUCAAAAUUUUUAGAAUAGUUCAAAACAUUAUUCCUACACUGGAUGGAAUUAAAUCACUUUUCUCAUGAAUUAUAGUAGUCAUCUAAUAAAUUAUAGUUCUUCAUGUCAGCACGUUAGUAAAAUAUUAUAAGCUUUAUUUGGAUGUCAGAAUAAGUUAUUCAAUGAUAACAUAUUUUAUACAAGACC